AACGAACGCUGGCGGCAGGCUUAACACAUGCAAGUCGAACGCCCCGCAAGGGGAGUGGCUGACGGGUGAGUAACGCGUGGGAACGUGCCCUUCGCUUCGGAAUAUUCCCGGGAAACUGGGAGCAAUGCCGGAUACGCCGAAUUGGGAAAGAUUUAUCGGCGAAGGAUCGGCCCGCGUUAGAUUAGGUAGUUGGUGGGGUAAUGGCCUACCAAGCCUACGAUCUAUAGCUGGUCUGAGAGGAUGAUCAGCCACACUGGGACUGAGACACGGCCCAGACUCCUACGGGAGGCAGCAGUGGGGAAUUUUGGACAAUGGGCGCAAGCCUGAUCCAGCCAUGCCGCGUGAGUGAAGAAGGCCUUAGGGUUGUAAAACUCUUUCGCCGGUGAAGAUAAUGACGGUAGCCGGAGAAGAAGCCCCGGCUAACUUCGUGCCAGCCGCCGCCGUAACAC
rnacentral:rRNA from 1 species